GCCUAGCUGGUUCAGUUGGUAGAACAUGCGACUCUUGAUCUUGGGGUCAUGAGUUCGAGUCCCACACUGGGUG
rnacentral:tRNA from 1 species